rnacentral:rRNA from 1 species
GUGCCAGCAGCCGCGGUAAUACGUAGGGUGCAAGCGUUAUCCGGAAUUAUUGGGCGUAAAGAGCUCGUAGGCGGUUUGUCGCGUCUGCUGUGAAAACUGGAGGCUCAACCUCCAGCCUGCAGUGGGUACGGGCAGACUAGAGUGCGGUAGGGGAGAUUGGAAUUCCUGGUGUAGCGGUGGAAUGCGCAGAUAUCAGGAGGAACACCGAUGGCGAAGGCAGAUCUCUGGGCCGUAACUGACGCUGAGGAGCGAAAGCAUGGGGAGCGAACAGGAUUAGAAACCCUCGUAGUCC